rnacentral:rRNA from 1 species
UACGGAGGGUGCAAACGUUGCUCGGAAUCAUUGGGCGUAAAGCGCACGUAGGCGGCUAGAUAAGUCGGGUGUGAAAGCCCUGGGCUCAACCCAGGAAGUGCAUUCGAAACUGUCUAGCUUGAAUCUCGGAGGGGGUCAGAGAAUUCCCCGGUGUAGAGGUGAAAAUUCGUAGAUAUCGGGAGGAAUACCAGUGGCGAAGGCGCUGACCUGGACGAAGAUUGACGCUGAGGUGCGAAAGCGCGGGGAGCAAACAGG